GUAGGGAAUAUUGGGCAAUGGAUGCAAGUCUGACCCAGCCAUCCCGCGUGCCGGAAGAAGGCCCUCAGGGUUGUAAACGGCUUUUGACGGUGAAGAAUCGACAGGAUGCGUCCUGUUUUGACGGUAGCCGUUGAAUAAGCACCGGCUCACUCCGUGCCAGCAGCCGCGGUAAUACGGAGGGUGCGAGCGUUGUCCGGAUUUAUUGGGUUUAAAGGGUGCGUAGGCUGGAAGGUCAGUCAGCGGUGAAAAGCUGUCGCUUAACGAUAGUCUUGCCGCAGAUACUUCCUUUCUUGGAUGAGGAGGAGGCCACUGGAACGGAUGGUGUAGCGGUGAAAUGCAUAGAUAUCAUCCAGAACACCGAUUGCGAAGGCAGGUGGCUGUACCUUAAUCGACGCUGAUGCACGAAAGCAUGGGGAGCAAACAGGAUUAGAAACCCCAGUAGUCC
rnacentral:rRNA from 1 species